UACGUAGGUGGCAAGCGUUGUCCGGAUUUACUGGGCGUAAAGAGCGCGCAGGCGGUCGUUCAAGUCGCGUGUGAAAGCCCCCCGGCUCAACUGGGGAGGGUCACGCGAUACUGAUCGACUCGAAGGCAGGAGAGGGUAGUGGAAUUCCCGGUGUAGUGGUGAAAUACGUAGAGAUUGGGAAGAACACCAGUGGCGAAGGCGGGCUAUCUGGACGGUUUCUGACACUAAGACUCGAAAAGCGUGGGGAGCAAACAGG
rnacentral:rRNA from 1 species